GGCCCAGGUCCAGGCCCCCACCCCGCCAGGGGAAGAAGGACACGCCCACGCCCAGCAGGACACGCCCAGCAGCCACCCGGCCUACAGCAGCGUGCCGUCCGCUCCAGCGUUUGCUCCGAACAUGAAAGAGCCCAGCACCCAGCUUGAGGCCCCCUCUUCCUACCCGCUGAGCAACUUCCACGAGAUGAUGGUGGCCUAUGGGCUGCAGGGCUAUGAAUUUGGGGAGGGGUCUGCCCCCUACGGCCUGUCCCCGGCCCCCUACCAGCCCUUGAGCUUGGGCGGCCCCCUUUCCUUGACCCAGCUUUGACCCAUGAGAGACUGAGGCUUCUAGGAGACGCUGAGCGUCGCUAGGUUAGUCCUGUUUGUAGGUGCAUCGGCUGCAUUUGUAGGGUGGGGUUGGGGGUGAGGGCACGGCAACUGCAUUAUUAUUUUUGCAAAGUGAAGGAAAUCUGUUUAGGGGUGAGAAAAAUAGGAAAGUCCUGCUGGCAGGUCCCCUUGGAGUGCUGAAUAACCUGGAGUGGGGUUCCAUCCCCAAGUGCCUUCUUUACAUACCAUUCCAUGAUUGUGGGGCAAAAAUAUGUCUAAUUGGGGGGGGGGGGGCAUUAACCCCAAAGGUGGGAAAGGGAUAUGGUGAGAGGGAGCGUUUUGUAGUGGGCAUUUUUUACAAACCUUUUUUACAAACAUUGCAAAUAAAAACCUCUUAUAUGUU